CACAUAGGCUCAAAAGUGUUUCCUGCAUCAUCAUAGUUAUGUCACAUACAAGCCACUGAAUUUCCAAAUUUAAGCAACCACUGUCCUCAUUUGAAAUCAGAAUCGAACCAAAAUCAACUCAGUCAAACUCGGUACCCAAAAACCAAUCCAUAUUUCAUUUUGAAGUGAACUAAAUAAUUGUACUAUUUCUCAGGGGCAUGGUUUCAAAUCAUGGUCACGGUCACAGGUAACGGAAACAUGCCUAUAAUGGCCGUAACGCAAUGAUAAUAGCUUGGAACUGUGCAAAUUUUUUUGAAAGAUUUGCAAAGUUCAUAAAUGACUAUAUAUUCGUAGAUACAAGUAAAACUAUGAUA
rnacentral:misc_RNA from 1 species